rnacentral:rRNA from 1 species
AUUGAACGCUGGCGGAAUGCUUUACACAUGCAAGUCGAACGGCAGCACGGGGGCAGCCCUGGUGGCGAGUGGCGAACGGGUGAGUAAUACAUCGGAACGUGCCCGGUCGUGGGGGAUAACGUAGCGAAAGUUACGCUAAUACCGCAUACGAUCUGAGGAUGAAAGCGGGGGACCUUCGGGCCUCGCGCGAUCGGAGCGGCCGAUGUCAGAUUAGGUAGUUGGUGGGGUAAAGGCCUACCAAGCCGACGAUCUGUUGCUGGUCUGAGAGGACGACCAGCCACACUGGGACUGAGACACGGCCCAGACUCCUACGGGAGGCAGCAGUGGGGAAUUUUGGACAAUGGGCGCAAGCCUGAUCCAGCCAUUCCGCGUGCAGGACGAAGGCCUUCGGGUUGUAAACUGCUUUUGUACGGAACGAAAAGGCUCUGGCUAAUACCUGGGGCUCAUGACGGUACCGUAAGAAUAAGCACCGGCUAACUACGUG